GUCCAAUGCCUGAAAACAAGUAAAGCCACUCCAUGUAGAAAAUUACAGGCCCCAUAGAUGCAUAUGACUGAUUGCGGCUAAUGCUCGCUGCUGCCAAUUAUCCUUAUUAGCACACGCCGUCAGGCCCAAAAUGACAUUAAUUACCACAAGCAGUAGUUCACUUGUGGGAACGGUGCAUUGACAAAAAGGUUACCCUGUCCGGAAAUUAAUCAUAACCUCCGCUUUGUUGGAAAUUCAGGAAAACGGGGAAAAGUAAGCGAGUGAAUUUUUUUAAAAAGACGGAGUUCCACCAGCCACCAUGGAGCGAAUCUCCACGGUGUAUCGGCCACACCUCCUGCUCUGCCAGAAGCCUGCUGUGUCUUCCGUCUGCUCUGUUGAGUUGACUUUUUUCUCAUGAAUUUGUAGGACCCCUCCACAUAGUUAUUCUCAGUGCUGAUUCUUCGACAGUUACACAUUUCACAAACAUCCUGCAAGACUAGUUCGUCUUUUCACUUUCGUCAAGACGCCUUUCACAGAGAUGUGAACAACUUGAUCAGUGUGUGUUCAGCAAGAUAUGUCGUGUCUGGCUAAGGGUGAGGCUCGCACCCCAUCCGUCUGAGGCCCAGGCCUCCGCAUCCAGGUUCAUCUUCCCUCCAGGGCCUGAAGGUGCUGCUGUUACCUCCUUUGGUCUCGUGUCCCUGACUGGAAACUCAUGUCAGUCUGAGUCUUGUUUCCUAGCUGCUGAUGUCUUCUCUCUGGAAGCUUCUAGAAGAAUGUGCGUGCUCAGUCAUGUCCAACUCUUUGCAACCCCACGUUGCCUGUCAGGCUCCUCUGUGCAUGGGAUUCUCCAGGUGGAUUCUUUACCACUGAGCCACCUGGGAAGUGAAAGCUUCUAGAACCCCCUCACCCUCAGAGCUCUGCACGUCUGCCGUGUCUGGGCCUACGUUUGUCCCUCUGGCCCGCUGGUCUUGUCAGUUCCAGAAUCGCUGUGUUUCUUCUGUCCUGUGAAGUUCUACUCUUAUGAAGUCACUCAGGGAAUGUAAGUGGUGCGGCCACUUCAGAACAGGCUGGCAGCUCCUCAGAAGAUUUAAUGUGGAGUUACCAUCUGAUCUGGCAGUUCCAUCCCUAGGAGUAGACCCAGGGGCAAUGAACACCCAGGGCCCCACAAAAACAUGUACCGGAGCGGUCAAAGAAGCAUUUUAAAUAAUAGACAAAACAUAUGGAAACAGCCCAACUGUCCAAACGAGUGGAUAAACAGUGAUCAAACUGUACACUGGAGUAGUAUUUGACUGCAAAAAGAGUAAAACAACCGCAACAAAACCAAACAACCAAUCUAAAAAUGGGCAGAGGGCUUGGAUAGACAUUUCUCCAAAGAAGAUGUAUGAAUGGCCAAUAAACUUGUGAAAAGAUGCUCAGCAUCACUAAUUGCUGCAUUGUGUGCUGUGCUCAGUUGCUCAGUCAUGUCCAACUCUUUGUGACCCCAUGGACUGUAGCCCCCCAGGCUCCUCUGUCCAUUCGAUUCUCCAGGCAAGAAUACUGGGGUGGGCUGCCACUUUCUCCUCCAGGGGAUCUUCCUGACUCAGGGAUCGAACCCUCCUCUCCUACCUCUCCUGCGUUGGCAGGUGAAUUCUUUUACCACUGAGCCACUUGGGGAGCCC
ensembl:lncRNA